GCCGUUGUAGCACAACAGGUGGUGCAGCUGAUUUGUAACCAGCAGGGUGGCGGUUCGACCCCGUCCAACGGCUCCA
rnacentral:tRNA from 1 species